rnacentral:rRNA from 1 species
UACGAAGGGGGCUAGCGUUGCUCGGAAUCACUGGGCGUAAAGGGUGCGUAGGCGGGUCUUUAAGUCAGGGGUGAAUCCUGGAGCUCAACUCCAGAACUGCCUUUGAUACUGAGGAUCUUGAGUACGGGAGAGGUGAGUGGAACUCCGAGUGUAGAGGUGAAAUUCGUAGAUAUUCGGAAGAACACCAGUGGCGAAGGCGGCUCACUGGCCCGGUACUGACGCUGAGGUGCGAAAGCGUGGGGAGCAAACAGG